CUUUACUGAAAAAGAAAAAAUGAGGUAAAGAGUAAGCUUUUAUAACAGAUCUUAUGUCAUGGGACAGAACAACUGUACUGGCUAAAUGAUGGAGCAGAACAAGAGAGCAAUUCUGUGCAUUGAUGUGACACGACUGCAGUGAAAUUUUCCAGCAAACAGCAUUUAUUAUGCUUAGGACUGCACCUGAUUUCCCUGCAGACAGAGAGCUCUCAUCCUAGACAAAAAGAUACCUAUUGCAUGGACAACACUUUCUGGGCAAAGUGAAGUAGAGAUCCGGAUUGCCUGGCUUGAGGUCACACAGCUGAUCAGUAGAUGCUGAAGUUAUUUAUAAGAAGCACAAAGAACUGCUCAUUAUGUUCCCAAUAGCACAGAGAGUUCCAAAGGGGCUUGCAGCUUGCAACUUUUGCUCUCUUCCUUUUAUGAAGCCAAGGGCUUGAACAUUUUGUCCUUGGGAUGUACAUUUACAAUUCAUUAUUAUGAUGAGAACCAACCAGGAAGAGAGUGUUACAAACUGUAAAAAAUAUGUGCAAAGUCUUCUCACAUUGGAGAUUUUAAUUCUUAUAUUUGACACCAAUUAAAAAGCAAAGGCAAAAUCUUUGGAAAAGAGAUAUCUUACCUCUAUGGUUCAAAUGAACUGUCUGCAGUAUAUCAGGAAACAGUGCUCUUCCCAAGUACUUUCAUGAAUGUCAAGGUGACAAUGUCUUUCAACCAAUUAAUCCCACAACUGCCAUUUGACUGUGCUCCUACCCAAAAUACCUUAGGCCAGCAGGCCAGAUUUCUUCUGGUAAUUAGCCUUUAACCCUCCCAGUCUUUGCUUUUGCAAUUGCCACUGACUCUGUGUCAGAUAGGAGUUUUAUGCGUCUCUUAAAGCCUAUUUCACAAUGGCUCUGACUUGACCUUUGGAGUAUGUGCAUUUAUAAGGAAACUGUUCAAGUGAAAGGUUUUAACUGCGAUUUAAGAAAGGCAAUCACCCCCAGCUCAUGACUCUUCCAAAGAACUCAGGUCCUGCUUGCAAUGGGGUCUUGGCUGCAAAUCUACUCCAUGUCAAAUCAUCUGUUUCCUCCAAGCCACCAUAAUUGCAUGAAUGGCUUAUGCCAGCUUCAACAGGAAGCAUGAAUAAUAUAUCAGCUCCAAAAUAACCUCUAGCCUGAAGGCUACAGGAAUCUCUUGUCCUGGGAACAACUAUGCCAGUGAGUAGCACCUCUUCCCUGAUGAAGGUUAGUCUUCAAGCAGAGGCCAGGCUGCACAACUCCAGCACAGCCCUUCUGGACCCCAAGGCUGCAACAACACAAGUCGAUGAAGAAAAGUAAAGGCAUGUACCCAGGCACUGGGACUUGACUCUCCACACUCAUUCUAGGUAUGGGCUAGAUGCAACUAUGGAUUUCUGGAGCUUGUGAGAGUCAGCACAUGGCCUCUUAUAUGCUACUUGGCCUCAAAAAUACAGACAUCGUGAAAUAUUUAA